GGAGCCUCGCUGGCCUCUGCGGCCCCAAGCCCAGGAAGCAGGCAGAGCAAAGGCUGAGGGAAAGAGAGAGGUUUGCUGAAAGCUUCCAGGGGGCUUGCUUAAAUGGCCCCUGCUGGUGCUGGGAGUUGCUGGCACUUGUGGGUGGGGAGAGGGAGCCAGGUUGCAGUCAGGCAGCAACUCGAAGAAUUUCUGGUACGAUGCCUAAGGAACUCAGACGGAAGAGGCCUGAAUGUCCAAGGCUCUAGUGAUCUGUGUGACUUUUCUCAUUCUAAGAAUAAUACUCAGAAAAGAAUAAGUUCUUGUAUACACUCAGCAUUUUACAAAUGUAAGUUACUGGUCUCUGGGGGUUUCCUCUGUGGAUGUUUUGUCUCCUCCACCCUCUGCAACCUCCCUGAGGGCAGAAACAUGUCCUACGUAUUCUCUGUUGCCAUGGUGUCUUAUAACAAGCCAAGAAUGAAGAGGUUGAGUUCGAACCCAACAAUAUGCCCAUGAAGGCCCAGCUGCAUAGACAGAGGUGGCAUGCGGUUCAUGAAGAAUGUGCUAUCAGACUCCCCCAUUCCAGCCUCCUCUCUGACUGCAAGUGAGUCUGCAAAUAUCUCUGGGGACAAACAAAACGAUCCCCCUCCACCACAGUCAGUUAGCCCCACAUGAUGUAGCACUUAGUUCUGUAGUGAGAAGCAGCCUGGCGUCCUGGAAGAUCCUUGGAGCAGGAAUCAGCACACCCUGACUGCACUCUGGCCCUAUUCCCUCAAUUAAUGAAACUCAACCACAGCUUUCCCCUCUGGAGACUAAGGAAUCAAUCGUCUCUGACCUGACUACCUGAAUGUGUGCUGAGGAUCAAAUAUGAUAACCCUAAGAAGCCGCACACACAAAGGGACUGUUAUCAUUUCAACCUGCCCACUGAGCUUCACACUCCAUGGUCUUUCCUUCUAGAAGGUCAUCUCAUUGAAGGCAAAGAGGCAAGCAUCAGCUCUGUGUUCCCUGCAUCCCCACACCCAGUGCCCUGCAGAGGAGGGGCAUACAGGAAAUGCUUGUAAAUGGAUGAAUGUCAAGCCCCAAACCCCACGGAGCCCUAGAAGCAUCCCCUUUCCAGGUUCCUUGUCCUCACCGGCUCUCCUCGCCCUCCAGCAGCUUGCGGUAGGUGGCGAUCUCGAUGUCCAGGGCCAGCUUCACGCUCAUGAGUUCCUGGUACUCACGCAGCUGCCGUGCCAUAUCCUGCUUGCCCCGCUGCAGGGCGGCUUCCAGCUCCUCCUGCUUGGCACGAGCAUCCUUGAGCGCCAGCUCCCCACGCUCCUCAGCCUCGGCAAUGGCGGCCUCCAACUUGGCACGCUGUGGGCAGCAGUGCAGCUGUAAGCUGGGGCUCACCAGUCUGCCUUCCUGCCUGCCCAUCCUGCAGUGAGCACCCGGGCAACUUGCUUAAGGUGGCUUCAUUGGCACCACCUACUCCCCCAAGUACCAGAGAAUCCUAAGGGUUAAACACAUAGGUUUGGAUAUCCAACGCCUAUGUUCCAGUUCUGGCUCUGCCACUUACUAGCUGUGUGACCAUGGAUGAAUCAACCCUGCUAAGCCAAAGUCCCCUCUUUUCUAAGAGAACAUCAGGAGAUUUUGAGGAUGAAAUGAGAUAAUAUACAAGAUGUCCGUGGCACAAUGUCUAGCACACAGCAAGUGCUUAAUAAAUGCUAUUGUGAUCAUUUUUAA
rnacentral:lncRNA from 1 species